UACGUAGGGUGCAAGCGUUAAUCGGAAUUACUGGGCGUAAGCGUGCGCAGGCGGUGAUGUAAGACAGGUGUGAAAUCCCCGGGCUUAACCUGGGAACUGCAUUUGUGACUGCAUCGCUGGAGUGCGGCAGAGGGGGAUGGAAUUCCGCGUGUAGCAGUGAAAUGCGUAGAUAUGCGGAGGAACACCGAUGGCGAAGGCAAUCCCCGUGGGCCUGCACUGACGCUCAUGCACGAAAGCGUGGGGAGC
rnacentral:rRNA from 1 species